rnacentral:rRNA from 1 species
AGAGUUUGAUCCUGGCUCAGGACGAACGCUGGCGGCGUGCUUAACACAUGCAAGUCGAACGGUGAAGUCCCUUCGGGGGCGGAUCAGUGGCGAACGGGUGAGUAACACGUGGGCAAUCUGCCCCUCACUGUGGGAUAACUCCGGGAAACCGGGGCUAAUACCGCAUAUGAAGCCUGGCGGCAUCGCCGGAUUUGGAAAGUUUUUCGGUGAGGGAUGAGCCCGCGGCCUAUCAGCUUGUUGGUGAGGUAAUGGCUCACCAAGGCGACGACGGGUAGCCGGCCUGAGAGGGCGACCGGCCACACUGGGACUGAGACACGGCCCAGACUCCUACGGGAGGCAGCAGUGGGGAAU